AAAAAAGAAAUGUAGAGCUUUUCUCUCUUUUGCCUUUCGUUUGUUGUAAUUUAUCAAGCUCAUGAAAUUGUUUUUUGGUGACAGACAAUAAAAAAUUGGAUCUUCUUGAGAAGCUUGAUCAAAAGUCUAAGGACGAGGGUGAAAAGAAAAAGGAUGGUGAAGACGAGGAGGAAGAACAAGAGGAGAAGAUUGAAGAGGAAGAAGAAGAAUUUAGCGAUGAUGGAGACUACAAUCAGAAUCUUUAUGAUUACGAUGACGAUGAAGACGACUACAACAUGAAUGAAGAUAAUAAUGAUGAAGCCAUGUAUUGAAGGUUGCUUGGUGGAGUGGUUUUUGCUUGCCUUUGGAAAUUUUUUACAGAGACGGAAUUCUUUAAUUAAUGUUAUUGGACUUCUAGAAAGCUUAGCUUACACAAAGGCAUUGUAAAUUAACAACAGCUAUUUAAUAGUGGAAAAUCAAGAAAGAAUAUUUUCUUGUUGCGUCUCA